rnacentral:misc_RNA from 1 species
AAAAUAAUUACAUAAAUUUGUUUUAAGAAUCAAAAACCGAACCGGAACCGUACCAAACCGGAAUCGAAACAACGAAGAACCAAACCAAGACCGUACCAAAAUUUCAGUUCGGUUUCGAUUCCUAGGCAGACCCCAAACCGAACUGGAAUCGCACAUCCAUAGGAAGUCCGCAUGAUGAAUAGCAGUUAAAUGAUGAGUAGCUGAAUGUGGCCUUCUAGACAAGGCAUCAACCAUCUUAUUCUCUAUCCCUCUUCUAUCCAACAUGUUAUAAUCCAUACCCAAAAGCUUGGAUAUACGUAUACCCUUUUGCUGCAGGUUGGUAUAAAGCCUUUGCUCCAAAAGAUGCUUGAUACUUUCAUAAUCAGUUUUGAUAAAGAAGGGACCUUGCUUAAGGUAGUGCCUCCAUUUAGUGACUACAAAAGUGAUUGCCAGCAAUUCCUUAUCAUAUAUAGAAAUACUUUGAUUCCUAACCCUAAAAGCUUUAGAUAUAUAGGCAAUAGGGUGCCCAUUUUACUGCAAUACAGCCUCCAGCCCAUAACUGCUAGCAUCAAUCUCAACUAUAAAGGGUUGAGCAAAAUUCGGUAAUGCCAAAAUAGGGGCAGAAGACAUAGCAGUCUUUAAGGAAUUAAAGGCUUGUUAAGUCUCAUCAUUCCACUGAAAACUAUCUUCCUUCAACAAAUUUGUAAGAGGUUUAUUGAUCUCCUAUCAACCCAAAAAUUUCUAUAUUCCUUAACAGAAGUAGGAUUAGGCCAAGAUACCGUAGCCUUAAUUUUCUUAGGAUUUGUA